CCUACGGGAGGCAGCAGUGAGGAAUAUUGGUCAAUGGGCGAGAGCCUGAACCAGCCAAGUCGCGUGAGGGAAGACGGUCCUCUGGAUUGUAAACCUCUUUUGUCGGGGAGCAAAAAUGCCUCGUUAGGCCACAAGUGAGAGUACCCUACGAGAAAGCAUCGGCUAACUCCGUGCCAGCAGCCGCGGUAAUACGGUGGAUGCGAUCGUUAUUCGGAUUUCUUGGGUUUAAAGGGUGCGUAGGGGGACUGGAAAGUCAUCGGUAAACUCGAGAGGCUCAACCUCUGUCCGCUGUUGAAACUGUCGGUCGUGAGUGGGCGAGAAGUAUGCGGAAUGCGUGGUGUAGCGGUGAAAUGCAUAGAUAUCACGAAGAACUCCGAUGGCGAAGGCAGCAUACCGGAGCCCGACUGACGCUGAGGCACGAAAGCGUGGGUAUCGAACAGGAUUAGAUACCCCUGUAGUC
rnacentral:rRNA from 1 species